AGAAAACUCACAUUCCAUAUCCAAAUUAAGAAACCACACCACGAUCAAUGGCCAGCGAAUUAUUGGCGGGAAAGGCUGGUCUCUGGGGCCUCACCGCCCGCCUCUGCGACUCCUGCCGCGGCCUGCCGGCGCUCGUGUUCUGCCGCGCAGAUGCGGCGUUUCUCUGUGAGGCAUGUGACGGCCGCGUCCACACCGCCAACCGCCUCGCCUCCCGCCAUGAGCGGGUCUGGGUCUGUGAGGUCUGCGAGCAAGCCCCAGCGGCCGUGACCUGCAAGGCCGACGCCGCCGCCCUCUGCCCCUCCUGCGAUGCUGAUAUCCACUCCGCCAACCCCCUCGCCCGCCGCCACGAGCGCGCUCCCAUCGUCCCCUUCUACGACCCCAUCGGCUCCGUCCUGAAGCCCUCAGCCGCGGGCGCCGGUGCUGCCGCCGGCAGCACCGGCGGAGGAGAUUUAUUCUCCAAGGGUUCUGAUCACGAAGAGCAAGACACCAGCGAGGCGGAGGCAGCCUCAUGGCUGAUCCCAAACCCAA
rnacentral:misc_RNA from 1 species